GUGCCUAAAACUAACAGUAAGGAAAACCGUACAACCUUGCUAACAGCUCGGUUGAUGUGCUUCAAGGCAGUGAAGUGGGGCAUUGCUCUUUUGUGGUGUUCUCAUUUCACGAAGCGCCAAUUUUUGAAUGGGCACAGGUCGUCCCUUUGAACUCAGGCGCACUCACUACUUUUCGAGGCGUAGAGUUUGGGUGAAGCGAUCUGCCCG